UACAGAGGGGGCCAGCGUUGUUCGGAAUCACUGGGCGUAAAGGGCGUGUAGGCGGUCCGCUAAGUCUGAUGUGAAAGCCCGGGGCUCACCCCCGGAAGGGCAUUGGAAACUGACGGACUCGAGUCCCGAAGAGGAGGGUGGAAUUCCUGGUGUAGCGGUGAAAUGCGUAGAUAUCAGGAGGAACACCGGUGGCGAAGGCGGCCCUCUGGACGGUGACUGACGCUGAGACGCGAAAGCGUGGGGAGCAAACAGG
rnacentral:rRNA from 1 species